rnacentral:miRNA from 1 species
UGGCAAGACUAGGCAGUCCAG